rnacentral:rRNA from 1 species
UGAUGACGAGACGCUCAGGCGUUGAAGUGGUGUAUGUCAGACUUCCAAGAAAAGCUCGCAAUGUCAUAGAUAAAAAAUGCCUGUACCAUAACCGACACAGGUGGGUAGGUAGAGUAUACUAAGGGGCGCGAGAUAACUCUCUCUAAGGAACUCGGCAAAAUGACUCCGUAACUUCGGGAGAGGGAGUGCCUUAUUUAUAAGGUUGCAAUAACAAGAUCCAAGCAACUGUUUAUCAAAAACACAGGUCUCCGCUAAGUCGUAAGACGAUGUAUGGGGGCUGACGCCUGCCCAGUGCCAGAAGGUUAAAGAAGUUGGUUAGUGUAAGCGAAGCUGAUAACUGAAGCCCUGGUGAACGGCGGCCGUAACAAUAACGGUCCUAAGGUAGCGAAAUUCCUUGUCGGGUAAGUUCCGACCCGCACGAAAGGCGUAAUGAUUUGGAUACUGUCUCGGAGAGAGGCUCGGUGAAAUAGACUUGUCUGUGAAGAUGCGGACUACCUGCACCAGGACAGAAAGACCCUAUGAAGCUUUACUGUAACUUGAAAUUGGAAUUGGACUUUGCUUGCGCAGUAUAGGUGGGAAGCGUUGAAGAUACUCUUGCGGGACUAUUGGAGCUAUCAGUGAGAUACCACUCUUGUAAUGUUAGAUUUCUAACUUUGAACCAUAAUCUGGUCAAAGAACAGUUUCAGGCGGGCAGUUUGACUGGGGCGGUCGCCUCCUAAAUGGUAACGGAGGCGUACAAAGGUUUCCUCUGAACGGAUAGAAAUCGUAUCUAGAGUGUAAAGGCAUAAGGAAGCUUGACUGUGAGACCUACAAGUCGAGCAGGGACGAAAGUCGGUCUUAGUGAUCUGACGGUACUGAGUGGAAAGGCCGUCACUCAACGGAUAAAAGUUACUCUAGGGAUAACAGGCUGAUCUCCCCCAAGAGUUCACAUCGACGGGGAGGUUUGGCACCUCGAUGUCGGCUCAUCGCAUCCUGGGGCGGUAGUACGUCCCAAGGGUUGGGCUGUUCGCCCAUGAAAGCGGUACGCGAGCUGGGUUCAGAACGUCGUGAGACAGUUCGGUCCAUAUCCGGUGUAGGCGUUAGAAUAUUGAGAGGAGCCUUCUUUAGUACGAGAGGACCGAGAAGGACACACCGCUGGUGUACCAGUUAUCGUGCCAACGGUAAACGCUGGGUAGCUAUGUGUGGAGAGGAUAACCGCUGAAAGCAUCUAAGUGGGGAGCCC